CGGCGUCACAGAUGCGGCACUGCUAACUGCUCAUCUGAGUGUUACAUUGGUAAAAGAAGAGUGGAUGGUUUGAAAGCAAUCCUGCAUCUCAUCCGAAGAGCAGAGGAGAGCAGCAGAACCACCACAGUAACAUCUCCACAGAGCAGCUCUGCAUGUGUCCCACUGCUGUCACCUGGGGUGGAUGCAGAGGAUCCUGAAGUGGAGGUGGCUCAAAGUGGGGCUCCAAGUUGCUCCAUUGUUACCACAGCCUCACAGCACUGCUACAGAAAAGCCACCAGGCUUAAAGAGGUGAUGAUUACAAUUGCAAAACCGAAUACCUGUUGCUCAGAACGACCAGAAUUUCAGCCCAAGCAGGCAGAGCUUGUGCUGCAGGCAGCAGGCUCAGCUGUGGGCAGUUGGGAGCGCUCUGCCUGCGGGAUCGCUGCUCACCCCAUCCCUGUGGCUUUGGGUUCACGCUCAGCUCUGUGCCCGCUGUGUGCCGUGUGGGGCUGUGCGGUGUCAGGGAGGUGGGGCAAUUCCUGCUGCUGUGUUGAGAGCUGCCAGUGCUGCAGAUGUUGCUGCAGUACAAAUAAUUGUAUCAACAAAACGAUUUCUAAGUGCUCACAGCACUGUGUGACCUUUGCUUCUCGUCCCCAAAUGCGUUUCCUUUUCUUUUCUCGAGGCCUUUGGAAAAAUCUGGCUCCUUCCACGAUGACUCAGAGAGGAGGAAACGCAAUCCCUGCUCCGUGUGCCACCCCCGGGACAGAGCAGUGCUGACACCAUCGCAGCCUUCGCCCUGAGAAGCCCUGGGAGGGUCAGGGCUGUUCCUUCCAGAUACCGACCAGAUCCCUUCUCACAGCCUUCUCCAUUGUGAGGAUGGAUUAUCCAGUGCCUACAAAGGCUGUGUGACUUUGUAUCGAGUGGGCACCCGGAUAAGGAGGGUUUGUUGAUGGACUUGGGGUGGCUUUGCUCCAAUGUUUACCUACAAAGCACAGUGCCCGGGCUCGGUGCUGUCAUUGGAUGGGUGCCCUGCGGUGGAUGUGCUGCUCCCUCCGCACACCAGAGCCGUCGGAGUCGCCAUCUGCAGGCAGCCCCACAAUGGAGAUGCAGGAGGAAGCACGGGUGGAGCACAGCUGGGUUGGAAGGGACCCCA
ensembl:lncRNA